rnacentral:rRNA from 1 species
UACGUAGGGGGCAAGCGUUGUCCGGAAUCAUUGGGCGUAAAGAGCGUGUAGGCGGUCCGGUCAGUCGGUUGUGAAAGUCAAGGGCUCAACCCUUGAAUGCCGGCCGAUACUGCCGGGCUAGAGUCCGGAAGAGGUGAGUGGAAUUCCUGGUGUAGCGGUGAAAUGCGCAGAUAUCAGGAGGAGCACCGAUGGCGAAGGCAGCUCACUGGGACGGUACUGACGCUGAGACGCGAAAGCGUGGGGAGCAAACAGG